GACGAACGCUGGCGGCGUGCUUAACACAUGCAAGUCGAACGGAAAGGCCCUGCUUUUGUGGGGUGCUCGAGUGGCGAACGGGUGAGUAACACGUGAGUAACCUGCCCUUGACUUUGGGAUAACUUCAGGAAACUGGGGCUAAUACCGGAUAGGAGCUCCUGCUGCAUGGUGGGGGUUGGAAAGUUUCGGCGGUUGGGGAUGGACUCGCGGCUUAUCCGCUUGUUGGUGGGGUAGUGGCUUACCAAGGCUUUGACGGGUAGCCGGCCUGAGAGGGUGACCGGCCACAUUGGGACUGAGAUACGGCCCAGACUCCUACGGGAGGCAGCAGUGGGGAAUAUUGCACAAUGGGCGGAAGCCUGAUGCAGCAACGCCGCGUGCGGGAUGACGGCCUUCGGGUUGUAAACCGCUUGCGCCUGUGACGAAGCGUGAGUGACGGUAAUGGGUAAAGAAGCACCGGCUAACUACGUG
rnacentral:rRNA from 1 species